UACGGAGGGGGCUAGCGUUGUUCGGAAUUACUGGGCGUAAAGCGUGCGCAGGCGGUUGUGCAAGACAGGUGUGAAAUCCCCGGGCUUAACCUGGGAACUGCACUUGUGACUGCACGGCUGGAGUACGGCAGAGGGGGAUGGAAUUCCGCGUGUAGCAGUGAAAUGCGUAGAUAUGCGGAGGAACACCGAUGGCGAAGGCAGUCCCCUGGGCCUGUACUGACGCUCAUGCACGAAAGCGUGGGGAGCAAACAGG
rnacentral:rRNA from 1 species